CUGUCCGUGUGUGUGGCUCAGCCUGGGCUCCGCGGCCUCCCCUUGCACCGGACGUGGACCCAGGCUGCCGUUGGGCAAGAUAGAGGACUGAGCCAAGGCACAAACGGCUGGCCAGAAAAGGCUGGCCAGCCUCUGGUCCGGUACCAGGCAAGUGAUUGGAGUCCCUUUCCAGUUUGGAAACAUCUGGGCAGGCCCAGCUGGUAAGGUUACUUUUCUACUUUGAACAAGCAAACAAGCCAACAGAAGAGAAGUUUCACAAGCAACUCCCAGCACAUCCGCUCACCUAGUGUUGUCUGUGACCUCACUCUCGGUGCCCCACCUCUUAUUACAGAUUGAACAGGGUCCAGGGGGAAGGACCAAGCCUGUCCCAUCGGCCAUCCUAUGUGUCAUGUCCUGGGACCCAGUGGAUGCUCAGCACCUGAAGAAGAUUGUCUUAGACACAUGGAAGCUGAGGACGCCUACUGUCCCCUCGGAACCCAGGUGGGGCUGGGAGUCUGCUGUUUGUAUAGCCGGUGGGCUCGUGUUGCUUUGGGCAUCCCUGUGUCUGAAUUCCUGCAGUACACUCGGUGGUUUUACCUGAACCACCAGCUUCUGCAUCUCUGAAGACAGAUGAUGAGGACCCUUCACGUAAGCCGUUCGCACAGCCCUGUGCAGGCCUUUGUGCUGCACGGUCUGCCCUUCGAGAUAACUGAGUGCAUUCCAUGGUGCAUCCUCGCCUAGAAUUGAGUGGAAGCAAGUCCAUCUCAGAAGGGACAUAACUGAAGAGGGAUGGCUUUCCAGACUCUGAUGGGCAGAGAGAGCUGCAGCCUGGCCCUGUGUAAAACAUGAAGCGUGGACGGCCUGGUGAGCACAGCUCUGCCCUCAAGACCUGUUUCAACUCCUCUCUUCCCGGAAAACACCAUCUCUGAGCCCGCCCUUGGUGACCUCAGAGAGACCACCCUAGUGACCCAGGCUAGUGACCGGGAACAUGUACCUUCCUGCAGCCAACCCCAGACGUCCACUGAUGCAUCAUAUACUGGCAAAGAUGUGAGUUCCUGUGCAUUGGUCUAACAGCAGAGACUCUGCCACAGGCCCAAGAGGUGGUGUGUGGGACAUGCAGGGGUGCAGGAGUGUAGGCAGUGCAAAAGUGUAACUGGUGACAGGGGUGCAGGGGCUGUGGAGGGCGCAGGCAGUUCAGGGGAUGCGGGGGUGCAGGGGUGCAGAAGUGCAGGCAGUGCAGAAGUGCAGAUAGUGGCAGGGGUGCAGAGGUGCGGGGAGUGUAGGGAUGCAGGGAGGUGCUCAGGCACGUGGCCAGGAUUAGAAGGCAAGUGCACAUCCUCGCAGUCAGCCUGACCCCGGGAGGCUAGUCCAAUCGUUUGGGGCGGCGGAGGCGGCGGUGCGUGGGAGGCUGCCCGGGCAAGCCGGUCGAUUUCUUCUCUUCCCUG